rnacentral:rRNA from 1 species
UACGUAGGGUGCAAGCGUUAAUCGGAAUUACUGGGCGUAAAGCGUGCGCAGGCGGUGAUGUAAGACAGGUGUGAAAUCCCCGGGCUUAACCUGGGAACUGCAUUUGUGACUGCAUCGCUGGAGUGCGGCAGAGGGGGAUGGAAUUCCGCGUGUAGCAGUGAAAUGCGUAGAUAUGCGGAGGAACACCGAUGGCGAAGGCAUCCCCUGGGCCUGCACUGACGCUCAUGCACGAAAGCGUGGGGAGCAAACAGG